UUUGAAAAUAAUAUUUAUAUCAUAAAAAAAUGUGUUAUGGUAACUCUAAAAAUAGUAGUAGAUAUCACAGCAAAAUUUGUUUAUGGUAACUCUGAAAAUAGUAAGCACAAAAAAGUUAUCGACUAUCGUAAAGCACAAACCGGUUUGCGUAUCACUAUUAGUUGGUAUUUUCUAACUGAGUGGCGUCGGAAAAGAGUUGUGCUUUGUGCUACGAAUUUUUUAAUUUUAACCUCAACCAAUGGAUAGAUAUUUGACGAAGCGAUCGGUUGAAGAAAUUUUGCAUGGAAGUAACGCCAGUGAUUCUGAUUGUGAAAUACAUUCAAGUGUAUAUGAUACAAGUAUUUAAAGAGCAACUACAACGCUAAAAGUAAAUCCUUUAAUUUUUUGUAUCAUGGUUAUGUACAUAUAAAGAUUUAUGCCGAAUUGUUAUGUUUUAAACUCAAUAAAUUUGAAAAA